rnacentral:tRNA from 1 species
GGAUUGUGGCUCAGUGGUAAAGUGCUUGCCUCACAUGAGUGAGGCCCUGAGUUCGAUCCUCAGCACCA